rnacentral:rRNA from 1 species
GUGGGGAAUAUUGGACAAUGGGCGAAAGCCUGAUCCAGCAAUGCCGCGUGGGUGAAGAAGGUCUUCGGAUUGUAAAGCCCUUUCGACAGGGACGAUGAUGACGGUACCUGUAGAAGAAGCCCCGGCUAACUUCGUGCCAGCAGCCGCGGUAAUACGAAGGGGGCUAGCGUUGCUCGGAAUUACUGGGCGUAAAGGGCGCGUAGGCGGCGCUGUUAGUCAGGCGUGAAAUUCCUGGGCUCAACCUGGGGACUGCGCUUGAUGCGGCAGUGCUAGAGGAUGGAAGAGGCUCGCGGAAUUCCCAGUGUAGAGGUGAAAUUCGUAGAUAUUGGGAAGAACACCGGUGGCGAAGGCGGCUCACUGGACCGGUAUUGACGCUGAGGUGCGAAAGCGUGGGGAGCAAA